rnacentral:misc_RNA from 1 species
CAACCCUUAAGCCCCUGUUGCUUAGCGUUGGGAGCCUACAGCACUGUAGCUCCCCAAAGUUAGUGGCGGAGUCGGUCUCACACUCUAGACGUAGUAAAUCUAUCUCGUCUGUAGUUGGGCCGGUCCCCUGCCGUAAAACCCCCUAAUUUUUAAAGG